AUGCAAAAUAUGAACUCUCAUUCUUGGAUAACGUACAAAAACACGAUUGUCUCAACGGUUGAUCUACAACUACGGUUGUCAACACUUCUUGUUGGGCAAAUAAGAGAUAGUUAUAACCGUCUCCACUAUAUAUGUGUGACUCUAUGUCACAACCAGGUAUGUUUUUACUUAUUUAUGAAGUUACAUCUCAUUUAUAACGUACAAAAACACGAUCGUCUCAACGGUUGA